CCCCUGAGCCUUCUCUCUCUCUCUCUCUGCCUUUUUAUUCACCACAGCACCUGUGCACUACCACACACACUCCCCUCCUCACAAAGCUGACCAACAUUUUGAGUUGGGAGAAGCUGGGCAUUUCUUCCUUGGCGCUGCUGGCUACCGAUUGUGUUUUCUCGCAAGCUAGCCCAAUGGAAGGAACGAUGGAGCUCGCGAUGGAGAGGAGGAGCUCUGCGACAACCAAGCAGCCUCGUGAGCUAGAGGUGUUCACAUGCCAUGGAAACCCAAGAGCGCGUACACCUUGGCCGGCCGGAGCACUGGUUCAGAUGGUUCAUGUCUAGCACUAGUUCGGUGUUAUCCUGAUUGAGCUUUUCAUCCAAGCCACCAUCCUCGUCCUUCUUCAUAUCCUCAACGUUGCAAUUGUUGGCGUCUCACGGGAUCAAAUCUUCUUGACCUUGCAAGACCUUUUCUUGACCUUGUAAGACCCAACAUUGCGAUGUUUCUUUUCUUCGACUUGAUCUUAUUUACCUCAUAUCUUCCUCCUUGUUCUUCUUUCCUUCCUCUGUCUAUCCCUCUUGAGCUGUGUUCCGGAAUUUAAAAACUAGAUUUUAGUAUUGUAUGGUAUAUUGAUCUCCCGUGAGGAGUGAAUGGUGUGGAGCUUCUCAUUGUGUAAAACCAUCCCUUCGAUUGUAUAUUUUGCUUUUGAUUGUAGGGUGCAGUAGAUGAGACACAAAAGCAUGUUCCUGUUGCGCCACGAUGCUCAGGCAUGUGAAGUAGGCUCCUAUUUGUAAGCUAGCUUCGUAUGUAAGCUAGCUUCGUAUGUAUCCUAUUUGUAAGCUAGCUUCGUAAGUAGGCCGUCUGCUGCUUGAGACAUUUUGGAUCCAUGUGCUUUUUUACUAUCGAGAACUGCUCAUUUUGGUACUGCA